rnacentral:rRNA from 1 species
AUUGAACGCUGGCGGCAUGCCUUACACAUGCAAGUCGAACGGCAGCACGGGGGCAACCCUGGUGGCGAGUGGCGAACGGGUGAGUAACAUAUCGGAACGUGCCCUGGAGUGGGGGAUAACUAGUCGAAAGAUUAGCUAAUACCGCAUACGAUCUACGGAUGAAAGUGGGGGAUCGCAAGACCUCAUGCUCGUGGAGCGGCCGAUAUCUGAUUAGCUAGUUGGUGGGGUAAAGGCCUACCAAGGCAUCGAUCAGUAGCUGGUCUGAGAGGACGACCAGCCACACUGGGACUGAGACACGGCCCAGACUCCUACGGGAGGCAGCAGUGGGGAAUUUUGGACAAUGGGCGCAAGCCUGAUCCAGCAAUGCCGCGUGAGUGAAGAAGGCCUUCGGGUUGUAAAGCUCUUUUGUCAGGGAAGAAACGGUGAGGGCUAAUAUCCUUUGCUAAUGACGGUACCUGAAGAAUAAGCACCGGCUAACUACGUGCCAGCAGCCGCGGUAAUACGUAGGGUGCAAGCGUUAAUCGGAAUUACUGGGCGUAAAGCGUGCGCAGGCGGUUGUGCAAGACCGAUGUGAAAUCCCCGGGCUUAACCUGGGAAUGGCAUUGGUGACUGCACGGCUAGAGUGUGUCAGAGGGGGGUAGAAUUCCACGUGUAGCAGUGAAAUGCGUAGAGAUGUGGAGGAAUACCGAUGGCGAAGGCAGCCCCCUGGGAUAACACUGACGCUCAUGCACGAAAGCGUGGGGAGCAAACAGGAUUAGAUACCCUGGUAGUCCACGCCCUAAACGAUGUCAACUAGUUGUCGGGUCUUAAUUGACUUGGUAACGCGGCUAACGCGUGAAGUUGACCGCCUGGGGAGUACGGUCGCAAGAUUAAAACUCAAAGGAAUUGACGGGGACCCGCACAAGCGGUGGAUGAUGUGGAUUAAUUCGAUGCAACGCGAAAAACCUUACCUACCCUUGACAUGGCAGGAAUCCCGGAGAGAUUCGGGAGUGCUCGAAAGAGAACCUGCACACAGGUGCUGCAUGGCUGUCGUCAGCUCGUGUCGUGAGAUGUUGGGUUAAGUCCCGCAACGAGCGCAACCCUUGUCAUUAGUUGCUACGAAAGGGCACUCUAAUGAGACUGCCGGUGACAAACCGGAGGAAGGUGGGGAUGACGUCAAGCCCUCAUGGCCCUUAUGGGUAGGGCUUCACACGUCAUACAAUGGUACAUACAGAGGGCCGCCAACCCGCGAGGGGGAGCUAAUCCCAGAAAGUGUAUCGUAGUCCGGAUUGCAGUCUGCAACUCGACUGCAUGAAGUUGGAAUCGCUAGUAAUCGCGGAUCAGCAUGUCGCGGUGAAUACGUUCCCGGGUCU